AUGGAAAAUGCCUGCACGAACCUCAACCAAGUCGUGCGCUCGGUGCGGCUGCUCAAGAUCGACGGGUUUAGCUUGACCGUGAGCCUGAGCUCUGAAUAUCGCUUCACAUCGAGAUGGAAUGUCGAUGGGUAUGAUUUGGAACUUGGUAUCUAUCCUGCAGCCAAACCCUUAUAUCCAGAUGGCAACAAGUUGAGACUUAUGUUUCUCAGUAAAGCCCGCACAGAGUGUGGUGUCCCAGUGAGCCUAGCCUGUCAGCUGGUAGAUCCGAGUGGGGAGCUCGAACCAUUUAAAGAGGACAGUGUGUCGGAGACCUUCUUUGCACCCCACUACUUCAAAGAACUCUUCUUCGUGAAUAGGAAGUCCAUACCAUCUGCUUAUCUCCGGGACGAUUCUUUGACUCUGCGAUGUGCCAUCACAAUGCUCAAGGAAUUACCAGUGCAAACCAUCCCAGCUGAAGAGGUGAUCACUGUACCAUCCACCAAUUUGCACCGGCACCUCGGCGAGCUCCUGGAGAGCGAGACGGGAGCCGAUGUCACCUUUCUCGUGUGCGACGAGUCGUUUGCUGCACACAAGGACAUACUUGCCGCGAGGUCUCCGGUUUUCAAGGCCCAGUUCUUUGGAGAGAUGAAGGGGAAGUGCUCGCAACGUGUGGAGGUGAAGGACAUGGAGGUGGCAGCAUUCAGGGCCAUGCUGCACUUCAUCUACACCGACACGGUGCCCGAGCUUGAUCAACCGCUCGAGGUGGUGGCGACGCUCGCUCAGCAUCUGCUUGCGGCUGCUGACUGGUACGGUCUUGAUAGGCUCAAGCUGAUUUGUGAAGUAAAGCUCUCUGGUGGCAUCACUGUCGACACCGCAGCGACAACUCUUGCUUUGGCGGAGCAGCACAAUUGCUUGAAGCUCAAGGCCAAAUGUGUCGAGUUCAUCGCACUGUUUUAA
rnacentral:rRNA from 1 species